AACCUGGAACCAGAAGAACUAACAGUUCAGCAAAGAAGUGCACACCAAAAGAGCCGAUGGAAUUCUCCAGAAACCAGCAGUUGUCAAUGCUGAGGAGGGAUCCAGGGGAUGUAAGACUGGCCUCUGAAGACAAGCGUUCCAGUGGGCCCCCUGGGCUCCCUGGCUGGCCUGGAUCCCUCAAUAAGCUCUUCCCGACUCUAGGGAGUCUUCAAAACAAAGUGGUAUCUCCAGGAGAAUGCCUAGCAGCCCUUAGCAUGGCUUGCAGGAAAAUGUUCGCUCAUAUUCCUGAAAGAAAAGCAUUACAUCCACCUCCUUAAUCCUGUUAGACCUUCCUGGGAUGGCGCCCCAAGAAAGAAUGGAGGAAGGACCCUGACAGAGAUGUUCCUGGAAGUUCACACCAGGUCCCUGUUCGUAGGCCCCGGCCACUUAGUGCCCUCCCUGAGCUAGUGCAGACAUGCAGCGAGGACGCCUCUGGUCCUGAAACACCGCCCCCGCCGGCCCUUUGAAGGCUUGGAAGGGCCUCGUCCUCAGAAGAAAGAAGCCAAUAGCCAAAUGGAUACCUCUUCAAGGAGUGGGUCCAUAAGGCUAGGAUUCGACUUCUUUGGCCCUGCCGCCAGCGAAGAGUCACCCCCACCAAGAAAACUGGAAAAAAGACCCUCCCUCAAGGAGACGCGAGGCUGGAGACAGGAAAGGAACCCCGAGGAGGCGGGCGAGGGUCCCAUUUCCGCUCCCUGGAGGUCUUACAAGCUGGAUUGGGACAAGUUCGAUGGCCCACACUUUAACGGGUCGGAAGGUGGCGGUGAACCCAGGUCCCAAGGACGCCCCCAGAGUCAGCCUCGGGGCCUGUGUCAGAGCAAAUGAGUGUUGUGCCUGCGGCGGAGGAAGACUCACCUCCCAGCAGCAGGUGGUUUCAGCCUCAGCGGGUGACCCUUCCUGAUGCAGACCGCUGCGGGAGCUAGCGCAGCUGCGGGCAUCCUGGGUCCCGCGAGUCUUCCCCGCGGGGGCUCCCCCAAGCGGUCCGGCGGAGAACCGCAAGCUCGCCGGUGCCCCGCCUCCUCAGAGGGGAUCAGCGCUUGCGCGAAUGUGGUGAGGUUCUAGGCACCCGGGCUGAGGCGGAUAAUCUGGAGCGCUUUUUGGGACUUACUUGAAGCAGUUGGCCUUGAAGAAACAGUUUUUAUACUUCAAGUUCGACCCACCCCUGAAGCACAACCUUCCGAGACAGAGUCGGUGGUGCCUGAGACGAGCAGAGCGCACCACCCACGCCGUCGCACCUUCCUCAGCAACUCCGGCCUGAGGCAAAGCUGGUGGAAUUUGAUUUCUUCACGAGACAUGUUCCUGUGUGCCCUCCACCCUGUGUGUCCUCAGGCUUGGGAUCAGGCCUGGGGGGUUGCUGCUGCCCAUGGCGCCCAUCAUGGAUGUGCGAAAGUACACCCCGAAGGGCUUGGACACGGUGGGGGAAGCAACACAGAAGGAUUGCUUGUUCCUGAAAACCAGGUGUGAAGAGCUCCGUGAGAAGAACCUGGAGAGGGGGGAAGAACACAGACCUGUCUGAGCGGAUUGUGUACCAGGCCAUGGAAGAGGGUCAAAACAGAAGGAACUGCCAAAGCCGAAAUCCAGGUUAUCCAGAUAACUUUUGAAGAAUUUGAUCUGAAGAUUGGCUAUGAUACCUUGAUAAUGAGUGAUGGAGGUGAAGUUGGAGACCCCAGGAUAGUGUUCCAAAUGUAGAAGUCACUAAUGGAAUUCUGGGCAUAUUACUAUUACAGUACUUAUUACUGGGAGCAUAUGGCAACUCUUGGUUUAUUCAUGUCUCCCCUCUAUAAUCUGAGAUCCAUGAAAAGGGAAAAGAUUGCCUUCUCCAGCUGAGGAUUUCCUCAUGCUGCCAUCCCUUCCUUGCUCCCUAUGCAAGUGGCAUGGAGUCUGUAACCAAGAGACUCCAGGAAGCAUUUGUCCAAUCAGUGUAAGUGCUUUAAAGUGACAGUAAAACAAAAGGGUUGAAACUGCCUUCUACAAAGAAACACAAUUUAAUAAUUAAAGUAGUCAAAGUUGCUCUGCUGUGGGAAGACAGUUUUGACUACAUCAAUCAAGGACUAUAGUAAGUUCCAAGCUUCCAAUGCCCUCAAGCAUUGUAGGAACAAUGUCAUAAACAGAGUACAAACCAAGUGAAAAUGGAACCAAGGAACUUGAAAAUUCAAAGUUAAAGUGAGGGGAUGAAGAAUUUGUUCUGCUUGGGAAAAUUAAACAUAUAGGUCUAUUUUUCCACAUUGACUUAGUCAACAGUGUCACUUCCUAUGUUAGAUUAUACAUCUGUUCAUUGAUUGCUACAUGCCAACAAAACCUUGAAUUAAAAACAAAAAAAUACCCUUGGAUUUGCUUAUUCAAUGAUGAUUUUUAAAGAUUGAAAAUUUUAGACAUGAACAGACAUUUCUCCAGAGAAGGUAUAUAGAUGACCAACAGACACCUGAAAAGAUGCUCAACAUCAGGGAAAUUCAAAUCAAAACCAUGAUGAAAUAUUACCUCACACCUAUCAGAAUGGCUAAAAUCAAAAAUUCAAGAAAUACGUGUUGGCAAGGAUGAAGAGAAAAAGGAACCCUUAUGCAUUGUUGGUGGAAAUACAAACUGGUGUAGCCACUGUGAAAGACAGUAUGGUGAUUCCUCAAAAAAUUAACAGUAGAACUACCUUACCAUCCAGGAAUCACACUACCAAGUAUUUAUCCAAAGAGUAUUAAAACACUAAUUUGAAGAGACAUAUGUACCCUUAUUGCAACAUUAUUCCAAUACCCAAACUAUAAAAACAACCUAAAUAUCCAUCAAGAGAUGAAUGGAUAAAGAUGUAGUAUAUAUACAAUGGAAUAUUAUUCAGCCAUAAAAAAUAAUGAAAUCUUGCUAUUUGCAACAACAUGAAUGGAUCUAGAGAAUAUAAUGCUGAGCUAAAUAAACCAGUCACAGAAAGACAAAUAUCAUAUGAUUUCAUUCAUCUGUGGAAUUAAAGAAGCAAAACAACAAAGAAAAAGAGAUAAACCAAAAAAAAAAAAACAAAAAACAAAAAAGACUCUUAACUACAGAGAACAAAUUAUCUGUUUGUUCUCUGUAGCUAAGAGGAGAGGCAUGUGGGAGAGUGGGUGAAAUGACUGAAGGGGACUAAGAGUACACUUACCUUGAUAAGCAUUGAGUAAUAUAUGAAAUUGUUGAAUCACUAUAUUGUACAUCUGAUGUACAACUGAUAUAACACUGUAU